AUUGAACGCUGGCGGCAGGCCUAACACAUGCAAGUCGAACGAGGGGCGGACGGGUGUGUAAUGUCUGGAAAACUGCCUGAUGGCGGGGGAUACCUCCUGAAAACGGUAGUAAAUACCGCAUACCAUCAGCUGUGCCCAGAUGGGAGUGGCUAGUGGGUGGGGUAACGGCUUACCAAGGAGACGAUCCCUAGCUGGUCUGAGAGGCUGACCAGCCACACGGGAACUGAGACACGGUCCAGACUCCUACGUGAGGCAGCAGUGGGGAAUAUUGCACAAUGGGCGCAAGCCUGAUGCAGCCAUGUCGCGUGUAUGAAGAAGGCCUUCGGGUUGUAAAGUACUUUCAGCGGGGAGGCGUUACCCGCAGAAGAAGCACCGGCUAACUCCGUGCCAGCAGCCGCGGUAAUAC
rnacentral:rRNA from 1 species